rnacentral:rRNA from 1 species
GUCGAGAGGCUUCCGCAAUGGGGGAAACCCUGACGGAGCGACGCCGCGUGGGUGAGGAAGGCCUUCGGGUCGUAAAACCCUGUCAGGAGGGACGAAACCCGGAUUGGUUAAUACCCAAUCCGCUUGACGGUACCUCCAGAGGAAGCUCCGGCCAACUCCGUGCCAGCAGCCGCGGUAACACGGAGGGAGCAAACGUUGUUCGGAAUCACUGGGCGUAAAGGGCGCGUAGGCGGUUCUACAAGUCGGAGGUGAAAACCCGUGGCUCAACCACGGGCCUGCCUUUGAAACUGUGGAACUUGAGGCCGUGAGGGGAGAGCGGAAUUCCUGGUGUAUCGGUGAAAUGAGUUGAUAUCAGGAGGAACACCGGUGGCGAAGGCGGCUCUCUGGCACGAGUCUGACGCUGAGGUGCGAAAGCAUGGGGAGCAAACGGGAUUAGAUACCCCUGUAGUCC